UACGUAGGGUGCAAGCGUUAUCCGGAAUUAUUGGGCGUAAAGAGCUCGUAGGCGGUUUGUCGCGUCUGCUGUGAAAACUGGAGGCUCAACCUCCAGCCUGCAGUGGGUACGGGCAAACUAGAGUGCGGUAGGGGAGAUUGGAAUUCCUGGUGUAGCGGUGAAAUGCGCAGAUAUCAGGAGGAACACCGGUGGCGAAGGCGGAUCUCUGGGCCAUUACUGACGCUGAGGAGCGAAAGCGUGGGGAGCAAACAGG
rnacentral:rRNA from 1 species